rnacentral:rRNA from 1 species
UGUAAGCUCCGGCUAACUCCGUGCCAGCAGCCGCGGUAAUACGGGGGGAGCAAGCGUUGUUCGGAUUUACUGGGCGUAAAGGGCGCGUAGGCGGCCUCUGCAAGUCGACUGUGAAAUCUCCGGGCUUAACCCGGAACGGUCAGCCGAUACUGCAGGGCUAGAGUGCAGAAGGGGCAACUGGAAUUCUCGGUGUAGCGGUGAAAUGCGUAGAUAUCGAGAGGAACACCUGCGGCGAAGGCGGGUUGCUGGGCUGACACUGACGCUGAGGCGCGAAAGCUAGGGGAGCGAACGGGAUUAGAUACCCCGGUAGUCCUAGCCUUAAACGAUGAAUGCUUGGUGUCUGGGGUUUUAUAGUCCCCGGGUGCCGUCGCUAACGCUUUAAGCAUUCCGCCUGGGGAGUACGGUCGCAAGACUGAAACUCAAAGGAAUUGACGGGGACCCGCACAAGCGGUGGAGCAUGUGGUUUAAUUCGACGCAACGCGAAGAACCUUACCUGGGCUAGAAUGCCUCUGACCGGCGUAGAGAUACGCCUUCCUGGGUAAAACCAGGCAGAGUGCAAGGUGCUGCAUGGCUGUCGUCAGCUCGU